GGGUCAGUAGGUUGGUCGUGCCACCGGUACGUACUGGUCUCACUGAUUCCUCCUUCCUGAAGAACCGUAAUGCCAUUAAUUUGGUGUUGCGGGGAAACAGGACUGUUACUUUGAAAAAAUUUGAGUGUUUAAAGCAAGCUAACGCUUGAACACAUUAGCAUGGAAUAAUGAAAUAGGACGAUCGAUCCUAUUUUGUUGGUUUCUAGGAUUGACGUA
rnacentral:rRNA from 1 species